UACGAAGGUCCCAAGCGUUGUUCGGAAUCACUGGGCGUAAAGGGAGCGUAGGCGGCGCGGUAAGUCAGAUGUGAAAUCCCGGGGCUCAACCCCGGAACUGCAUCCGAUACUGCCGUGCUCGAGGAUUGGAGAGGUAGCUGGAAUUCUUGGUGUAGCAGUGAAAUGCGUGGAUAUCAAGAGGAACACUCGUGGCGAAAGCGAGCUACUGGACAACUCCUGACGCUGAGGCUCGAAGGCCAGGGGAGCGAAAGGG
rnacentral:rRNA from 1 species